rnacentral:misc_RNA from 1 species
GAUCAGAUCGAGGUUGUCGCUGACAGCUUCGGGGCGCCGACAACCGCCCAUCUCGUUGCGGAUACCACCGCCGCAAUGCUUGAUCGGCUGAACGGCCUCUCCCGGCCCGAAGAACUAUCUGGCAUCUAUCAUCUGACGGCCUCCGGCGAGACAAGCUGGUAUGAUUUUGCACAAUUCCUUCUGGGGCUAGCUCACAAUCG